rnacentral:miRNA from 1 species
UUAGUACUUGGGUUGAUAAA